GAUGAACGCUAGCGGCAGGCUUAACACAUGCAAGUCGAGGGGCAGCGCGUCGUAGCAAUCAUCUGCCGGCGACCGGCGCACGGGUGAGUAACACGUAUGCAACCUGCCCGUCACGGGGGGAUAGUCGAGAGAAAUCUCGUCUAAUACCGCAUACACUCUUCGGGAGGCAUCUUCGGGAGAGGAAAGAUUAAUUGGUGACGGAUGGGCAUGCGGACAUUAGCUAGUUGGCGGGUAACGGCCCACCAAGGCGACGAUGUCUAGGGGUUCUGAGAGGAA
rnacentral:rRNA from 1 species